GUGGCGGACGGGUGAGUAACGCGUGGGAAUCUGCCCUCAGGAGGGGGAUAACGGCCGGAAACGGCCGCUAAUACCCCAUAUGCCGAGAGGUGAAAUGAAUUUCGCCUGAGGAUGAGCCCGCGUCUGAUUAGCUAGUUGGUGGGGUAAUGGCCCACCAAGGCGACGAUCAGUAGCUGGUCUGAGAGGAUGAUCAGCCACACUGGGACUGAGACACGGCCCAGACUCCUACGGGAGGCAGCAGUGGGGAAUUUUCCGCAAUGGGCGAAAGCCUGACGGAGCAACGCCGCGUGAGGGAUGAAGGCCUCUGGGCUGUAAACCUCUUUUCUCAAGGAAGAAGACAUGACGGUACUUGAGGAAUAAGCCACGGCUAAUUCCGUGCCAGCAGCCGCGGUAAUACGGGAGUGGCAAGCGUUAUCCGGAAUUAUUGGGCGUAAAGCGUCCGCAGGCGGCCUUGUAAGUCUGUCGUUAAAGCGUGGAGCUUAACUCCAUUUCAGCGAUGGAAACUACAAGGCUUGAGUGUGGUAGGGGCAGAGGGAAUUCCCGGUGUAGCGGUGAAAUGCGUAGAUAUCGGGAAGAACACCAGUGGCGAAGGCGCUCUGCUGGGCCAUAACUGACGCUCAUGGACGAAAGCCAGGGGAGCGAAAGGGAUUAGAUACCCCUGUAGUCCUGGCCGUAAACGAUGAACACUAGGUGUCGGGGGAAUCGACCCCCUCGGUGUCGUAGCUAACGCGUUAAGUGUUCCGCCUGGGGAGUACGCACGCAAGUGUGAAACUCAAAGGAAUUGACGGGGGCCCGCACAAGCGGUGGAGUAUGUGGUUUAAUUCGAUGCAACGCGAAGAACCUUACCAGGGUUUGACAUCCUGCGAAUCCCUUGGAAACGAGGGAGUGCCUUCGGGAGCGCAGAGACAGGUGGUGCAUGGCUGUCGUCAGCUCGUGUCGUGAGAUGUUGGGUUAAGUCCCGCAACGAGCGCAACCCACGUCUUUAGUUGCCAGCAUUCAGUUGGGCACUCUAGAGAGACCGCCGGUGAUAAACCGGAGGAAGGUGUGGAUGACGUCAAGUCAUCAUGCCCCUUACAUCCUGGGCUACACACGUACUACAAUGCUACGGACAAAGGGUUGCAAGCUCGCGAGAGUUAGCUAAUCCCAUAAACCGUGGCUCAGUUCAGAUCGUAGGCUGCAACUCGCCUACGUGAAGGAGGAAUCGCUAGUAAUCGCAGGUCAGCAUACUGCGGUGAAUACGUUCCCGGGCCUUGUACACACCGCCCGUCACACCAUGGAAGUUGGCCAUGCCCGAAGUCGUUACUCCAACCCUUGUGGAGGAGGACGCCGAAGGUGGGGCUGAUGACUGGGGUGAAGUCGU
rnacentral:rRNA from 1 species